rnacentral:rRNA from 1 species
CGAACGGGUGAGUAAUAUAUCGGAACGUGCCCAGUAGUGGGGGGUAACUGCUCGAAAGAGCAGCUAAUACCGCAUACGACCUGAGGGUGAAAGGGGGGGAUCGCAAGACCUCUCGCUAUUGGAGCGGCCGAUAUCAGAUUAGCUAGUUGGUGGGGUAAAGGCCUACCAAGGCAACGAUCUGUAGUUGGUCUGAGAGGACGACCAGCCACACUGGGACUGAGACACGGCCCAG